AUUGAACGCUGGCGGCAGGCCUAACACUUGCAAGUCGAGCGAGCGGCGGACGGGUGAGUAAUGUAUGGGGACUGCCCGAUAGAGGGGGAUAACUACUGGAAACGGUGGCUAAUACCGCAUACUAUCGGAUAACCCAUAUGGGAUUAGCUAGUAGGUGGGGUAACGGAUCACCUAGGCGACGAUCUCUGGCUGGUCUGAGAGGAUGAUCAGGCACACUGGGACUGAGACACGGCCCAGAGUCCAAGGGAGGAAGCAGUGGGGAAUAAGGCACAAUGGGGGCAAGCCUGAUGCAGCCAUGCCGCGUGUAGGAAGAAGGCCUUAGGGUUGUAAAGUACUUUCAGCGGGGAGGCGUUACCCGAAGAAGAAGCACAGGCUAAAUCCGUGCCAGCAGCCGCGGUAAUUC
rnacentral:rRNA from 1 species